rnacentral:tRNA from 1 species
AGGGUUAUAGUUAAACUUAACAUUUAAUUUGCAAUUAAAAAAUAUUGAAUUUUCAAUUUACCUUA